CUGCGACGGAUACCAUGCGAUCCUCCUAUCCGCUGGCAAGUCACGACAACGGACGCUGCUCCACCCCUCAUAACAGAUUCCACGUGGCGGGCCACGGUGAUGGCCACGUGUCUGCUCCACCAUCUUCCGCAAUCAAUUCCCCCUGACCAUGGGCGGCCCACUACCAGGCAGUUACAAACGUCGCCAUCAAUCUGCUGCCUCCUCCGCCUAUAAAAGGGGGACCCAGAUACGUUAUUCUUUAAGCUCAUUUUCCUUAUCUCAAAACUCUGCUAAAUUCUCCGUUCGAGCACUCCAUUCUUGUUGAGGCAGAGAACUGACUUGAGCGUUGGAGGGUCUUGCCGGAGCAACCCCACCUCCGGUUUAGACUUCCCUUGCAGGUCCCGGCGGCGACCGCGGCUUUCCCAACUCCAGCUUCUCCGGCGCAAGCG
rnacentral:lncRNA from 1 species